AUUGAACGCUGGCGGCAGGCCUAACACAUGCAAGUCGAACGGUAGCACAGAGAGCUUGCUCUCGGGUGACGAGUGGCGGACGGGUGAGUAAUGUCUGGGAAACUGCCCGAUGGAGGGGGAUAACUACUGGAAACGGUAGCUAAUACCGCAUAAUGUCGCAAGACCAAAGAGGGGGACCUUCGGGCCUCUUGCCAUCGGAUGUGCCCAGAUGGGAUUAGCUUGUUGGUGAGGUAAUGGCUCACCAAGGCGACGAUCCCUAGCUGGUCUGAGAGGAUGACCAGCCACACUGGAACUGAGACACGGUCCAGACUCCUACGGGAGGCAGCAGUGGGGAAUAUUGCACAAUAGGCGCAAGCCUGAUGCAGCCAUGCCGCGUGUGUGAAGAAGGCCUUCGGGUUGUAAAGCACUUUCGGCGGGGAGGAAGGGGAUACGGUUAAUAACCGUGUUGAUUGACGUUACCCGCAGAAGAAGCACCGGCUAACUCCGUG
rnacentral:rRNA from 1 species